CCAUGCAGCCCGACGGAAAGCUCCAUUUAUCAGCCCAAAUUCGCCAAUUUAGGACGCGGAGAAACCUUGUGUGGAUGGCUCGCAAUCUCCAUUCAGGCAUCCGCUGCCCGGUUGAGGAUGAUCCGCCUGAUAUAAGAGCUCCAAACCCGGGCGCAAUUGGCUACAGUGUUACCAGGCUCCGCGAUUUUCUGUCAUUCUGGAGGAAAAUAAUACUACUAAUGAUAAUAAAGAAAAAUGUAUCAGGAUGUAGAGGCUGUCAGAUUGUGGAGGUACCACCUCUGGAGAAUGCAAUCGCUUGAGAGAGACACACAGAGGAGGAAAAAAAUCUAAAAAAAAAAAAAAAAGAAAGAGGAAAAAAGACCGCUCCGUUGUCCACAAGUUUCGGAUCUGGAAUCGGGGAUUAUUUCACGUUGACGAGAGCGGAGCUAAGGCAGGAUCGAGCUACAUAAUGCUGAUUUAAUGUUUGUCUUUUCUCUGCCUUUUCUGGCGUUUGCCCUUCCAAUUCUUCAGCACUGCUUGACAGCGGCACAUCCAAUAAAAGCACCCGCAAGGAUUGACCUACAGCCUUUACUGACGUUAAUGCAAAUGAGCAGCGAGCAGCUAAUCGGAGCCGCGCUCGGCGCCGCUGGGUGGUCCUCCGCUUUCCGUGGGAACUUUGAAACCCGGAAAAGAGCCUCUGCGGACAGACACGGAGCUGGAUGCAGGUUUUCAAGUGGUGAUUGAGCAGGCUAAGGCAUGGUUCCAGUGUUCUGGUUCUCCAUCCAGGCUUUAACUGAUCUUGCCGUGUGGUAAGGGACAUCGUCUUGUUGGAAAGUCCAGUCAUUGGAGGUGUCAAAGAGUUUUCCAGCUGAUGGAAGAAGACUGUUUUCAAGAGUAGCCCUGUACAUGACCUGGUUCAUUGGCCAUGUUCCACCCAGACUGGAACAACCCCAGACUCUACAUCUCCAUACAUGCAAGGAUUUUCUAAUCUAUUAUCCAAACAUGCCGCUGACUUUACUGUGAACAGAAAGUAGCUAAGAAUAUUUCCUCCAACCUGCUGCUUACGUAAACUUUGAGUUUUAUGUGGGUAUGUUAAUAUGCCCCUUUAUGCUUUUAUUCAGAGUGAAAUACUGUUUGGUAGUCUGCUGCAGUUAUUUGACAGUUAGUCUAAUCAGAUAACAUUUAUAAAUCACAAGAUAAGCUUAUGAUAUAAAAUGUUGUAUAUAAACCAGUGGUUCAGAUCACAUGGAUUCUAUCAAACAGGGCUGUCAGCUGUGUACCAAUCUGACUUCUGCACAACACAACUGAUGUCCCAACCCCAUUAAGAAGGCAACAAAUUCCACACAUCAACUUUGACGAGGCACACCUGUGAAGUGAAAACAUUUCAGGUAACGAACUCAAGAACCUCAUGGAGAGAUGCCAAGAGCGUGCAAAGCAGUAACCAAAGCAAAGGGUGGCUGCUUUGAAGAAUCUAAACUCUAAAAGAUGUUUUGACUCAUUUCACACAUUUUUGUUGAAUUCCAUGUGUUCAUUCAUGGUUCUGAUGCCUUCAGUGAGAAUCUGCAAUGUAAAUAAUCCAUUAAAUGAGAAUGUUUGUCCAAA